AUAUAGGGAGAAUUAGAGAAUCGUCGGUAUACGGGGGGUGCAGCGUUACUCGGAAUCACUGGGCGUAAAGCGCAUGUAGGCGGUUAAUUAAGUUAGAAGUGAAAGCCCACAGCUUAACUUGUGGAACAAGCUUCUAAAACUGAUUAACUAGAGUCUGGGAGAGGAAGAUGGAAUUAGUAGUGUAGGGGUAAAAUCCGUAGAGAUUACUAGGAAUACCGAAAGCGAAGGCGAUCUUCUGGAACAGUACUGACGCUGAGAUGCGAAAGCGUGGGGAGCAAACAGGAUUAGAUACCCUGGUAGUCCACGCCCUAAACGAUGAAUGUUAGUCGUUGGAGUGCUAGCCACUUCAGUGAUGCAGCUAACGCAUUAAACAUUCCGCCUGGGGAGUACGGCCGCAAGGUUUAAAACUCAAAGGAAUAGACGGGGACCCCGCACAAGGUGGUUGGAGCAUGUGGUUUAAUUCGAAGAUACGCGAAGGAACCUUACCUGGCCUUGACCAUAUACCAGGAACCUACCAGGAGAUGGUGGGGGUGCCUUCGGGGAACUUGGUAUACAGGUGCUGCACGGUGUCGUCAGCUCGUGUCGUGAGAUGUGGGUUAAGUCCCGAACGAGCGCAAACCUCGUGACUAGUUACUAACAGCAUAGGCUGAGGACUCUAGUCAGACUGCCUUCGUAAGGAGGAGGAAGGUGGGGACCGACGUCAAGUCAUCAUGGCCCUUACGGCCAGGGCGACACACGUGCUACAAUGGGGGAGGACCAAUGAGAAGCGAAAUCGGGAGAUUGGGCAAAUCUAUUAAACCUUUCUCUCAGGUCCGAUUGGAUUCUUGGGAAUCGAUUACCUGGAAGUUGGGAUUCACCUUAGUAAUCCGGAUUCAGCCUUGUCGCCGGGGGAUUCCUUGUGCCCCGGGGGCUUUGGGGUUCAACCGGGCCGGUGAACCCUUUGGGGGGUUUGGGUUUUUCCACCCCGG
rnacentral:rRNA from 1 species